UACGGGGGGGGGCAAGCGUUGUUCGGAAUUACUGGGCGUAAAGGGCUCGUAGGCGGCCAACUAAGUCGGACGUGAAAUCCCCAGGCUCAACCUGGGAACUGCGUCCGAUACUGGAUGGCUUGAAUCCGGGAGAGGGAUGCAGAAUUCCAGGUGUAGCGGUGAAAUGCGUAGAUAUCUGGAGGAAUACCGGUGGCGAAGGCGGCAUCCUGGACCGGCAUUGACGCUGAGGAGCGAAAGCCAGGGGAGCAAAGCGGGG
rnacentral:rRNA from 1 species